rnacentral:rRNA from 1 species
UACGAAGGGGGCUAGCGUUGCUCGGAUUGACUGGCGUAAAGCGUGCGCAGGCGGUUUUGUAAGCCAGAUGUGAAAUCCCCGGGCUUAACCUGGGAAUGGCAUUUGGGACUGCAAGGCUUGAGUGCGGCAGAGGAGACUGGAAUUCCUGGUGUAGCAGUGAAAUGCGUAGAUAUCAGGAGGAACACCGAUGGCGAAGGCAGGUCUCUGGGCUGACACUGACGCUCAUGCACGAAAGCGUGGGGAGCA